rnacentral:rRNA from 1 species
UACGGGGGGGGCAAGCGUUUGUUCGGAAUUACUGGGCGUAAAGGGCUCGUAGGCGGCCAACUAAGUCAAACGUGAAAUCCCUCGGCUUAACCGGGGAACUGCGUCUGAUACUGGAUGGCUCGAGUUUGGGAGAGGGAUGCGGAAUUCCAGGUGUAGCGGUGAAAUGCGUAGAUAUCUGGAGGAACACCGGUGGCGAAGGCGGCAUCCUGGACCAACACUGACGCUGAUGAGCGAAAAGCCAGGGGAGCAAACGGGG